rnacentral:misc_RNA from 1 species
GGAAGUAAGAGUCGUAACAAGGUUUCCGUAGGUGAACCUGCGGAAGGAUCAUUAUUGAAUGAAACACUUCUGGCUUUAUGCUGUUGUGCUGGCCCUUUGGGCAAUGUGCACACGGCUCUGGUCACUUGUUUCUUCUGAUCCACCUGUGCACUGCCUGUAGACACGCUGUGUCUAUGAUAUUUGUUAACACACAACAAUGUUAGUUGGCAUGUUAAAUAUAAUAAUAAAAUAUACAACUUUCAACAACGGAUCUCUUGGCUCUC